CAGCAGCCACGGUAACACAGAGGGUGCAAGCGUUAAUCGGAAUUACUGGGCGUAAAGCGCGCGUAGGUGGUUCGCCAAGUUGGAUGUGAAAUCCCCGGGCUCAACCUGGGAACUGCAUCCAAAACUGGCAAGCUAGAGUACGGUAGAGGGUGGUGGAAUUUCCUGUGUAGCGGUGAAAUGCGUAGAUAUAGGAAGGAACACCAGUGGCGAAGGCGACCACCUGGACUGAUACUGACACUGAGGUGCGAAAGCGUGGGGAGCAAACAGGAUUAGAUACCCCUGUAGUCCCUGUCUCUUAUAC
rnacentral:rRNA from 1 species